AUUGAACGCUGGCGGCAGGCCUAACACAUGCAAGUCGAACGGUAGCACAGAGAGCUUGCUCUUGGGUGACGAGUGGCGGACGGGUGAGUAAUGUCUGGGAAACUGCCCGAUGGAGGGGGAUAACUACUGGAAACGGUAGCUAAUACCGCAUAACGUCUUCGGACCAAAGUGGGGGACCUUCGGGCCUCACAUCAUCGGAUGUGCCCAGAUGGGAUUAGCUAGUAGGUGGGGUAAAGGCUCACCUAGGCGACGAUCCCUAGCUGGUCUGAGAGGAGGGCCAGCCACACUGGAACUGAGACACGGUCCAGACUCCUACGGGAGGCAGCAGUGGGGAAUAUUGCACAAUGGGCGCAAGCCUGAUGCAGCCAUGCCGCGUGUAUGAAGAAGGCCUUCGGGUUGUAAAGUACUUUCAGCGGGGAGGAAGGCGUUAAGGUUAAUAACCUUGGCGAUUGACGUUACCCGCAGAAGAAGCACCGGCUAACUCCGUGCCAGCCGCCGCGGUAA
rnacentral:rRNA from 1 species